GGAGAUAGCUGGUUCUCCGCGAAAACUAUUUAGGUAGUGCCUCAGGUAUUACCAACGGGGGUAGAGCACUGGAUGGAUGCGGGGGGCGCGAGCCUUACCAAUUCUAACCAAACUCCGAAUACCGUUGAGUAGAGCCUGGGAGACAGACUGCGGGUGCUAAGGUCCGUAGUCGAGAGGGAAACAGCCCUGACCACCAGCUAAGGUCCCUAAAUCUUGUCUAAGUGGGAAAGCAUGUGAGACGGCCAAAACAACCAGGAUGUUGGCUU
rnacentral:rRNA from 11 species